GAUGAAGAACGUAGCGAAAUGCGAUAAGUAAUGCGAAUUGCAGAAUUCAGUGAGUCAUCGAAUCUUUGAACGCACAUUGCGCCCUGUGGUAUUCCGCAGGGCAUGCCUGUUCGAGCGUCAUUUCAACCCUCAAGCUCUGCUUGGUGUUGGGCCCUGCCCGCUGCGGCCGGCCCUAAAGACAGUGGCGGUGCCGCCUGGCCCUGAGCGUAGUACAUCUCUCGCUCCAGUGCCCGGUGGUAGCCUGCCAGAACCCCAACUCUCGUGGUUGACUUCGGAUCAGGUAGGGAUACCCGCUGAACUUAAGCAUAUCAAUAAGCGGAGGA
rnacentral:misc_RNA from 1 species